rnacentral:rRNA from 1 species
UCCGUAGGCGGGCUAAUAAGUCAGGGGUGAAAUCCCACAGCUUAACUGUGGAACUGCCUUUGAUACUGUUAGUCUUGAGUUAUAUGGAAGUAGAUAGAAUGUGUAGUGUAGCGGCGAAAUGCAUAGAUAUUACACAGAAUACCGAUUGCGAAGGCAGUCUACUACGUAUAUACUGACGCUAAUGGACGAAAGCGUGGGGAGCGAACAGGAUUAGAUACCCUGGUAGUC